rnacentral:rRNA from 1 species
UACGUAGGGUGCAAGCGUUGUCCGGAAUUAUUGGGCGUAAAGAGCUCGUAGGCGGUCUGUCGCGUCGAAUGUGAAAAUCCGGGGCUCAACCCCGGACCUGCAUUCGAUACGGGCAGACUAGAGUUCGGUAGGGGAGUCUGGAAUUCCUGGUGUAGCGGUGAAAUGCGCAGAUAUCAGGAGGAACACCGGUGGCGAAGGCGGGUCUCGUGGGCCGAUGACUGACGCUGGAGGAGCGAAAGCGUGGGGAGCGAACAGG